rnacentral:rRNA from 1 species
UACGUAGGGGGCAAGCGUUGUCCGGAUUUAUUGGGCGUAAAGAGCGUGUAGGCGGCUAGAUAGGUCCGUUGUGAAAACUCGAGGCUCAACCUCGAGACGCCGAUGGAAACCAUCUAGCUAGAGUCCGGAAAAGGAGAAUGGAAUUCCUGGUGUAGCGGUGAAAUGCGCAGAUAUCAGGAAGAACACCCGUGGCUAAGGCGGUUCUCUAGUACGGUACUGACGCUGAGACGCGAAAGCGUGGGGAGCGAACAGG